ACGGCUCAGUAACACGUGGAUAACCUACCCAAGAGUCCGGGAUAACCCCGGGAAACUGGGGAUAAUACCGGAUAGAUCACCUUUUCUGGAACGGGGGGUGGUUGAAACUUCCGGGGCUUUUGGAUGGGUCUGCGGCUGAUUAGGUUGUUGCCGGUGUAACGUACCGUCAAGCCUGUAAUCAGUACGGGUUGUGGGAGCAAGAGCCCGGAGAUGGAUUCUGAGACACGAAUCCAGGCCCUACGGGGCGCAGCAGGCGCGAAAACUCUACAAUGCAGGCAACUGCGAUAGGGGAACAUCGAGUGGCGUCCAUAUUGGAUGUCUGUCCACCCGCCUAAAAAGCGGGUGUUAGCAAGGGCCGGGCAAGACCGGUGCCAGCCGCCGCGGUAAUACCGGCGGCUCGAGUGGUGGCCGAUAUUAUUGAGUCUAAAGGGUCCGUAGCCGGCUUUGCAAGUCUCUCGGGAAAUCCAGCGGCUUAACCGUUGGUCGUCCGGGGGGUACUACAUUGCUUGGGACUGGGAGAGGUAGGAGGUACUCAGGGGGUAGGAGUGAAAUCCUGUAAUCCUUUGGGGACCACCGGUGGCGAAGGCGUCCUACCAGAACAGGUCCGACGGUGAGGGACGAAAGCUAGGGGCACGAACCGGAUUAGAUACCCGGGUAGUCCUAGCCGUAAACGAUGCUCGCUAGGUGUCACAACAGUCGUGAACUGUUGUGGUGCCGUAGGGAAGCCGUGAAGCGAGCCACUUGGGAAGUACGACCGCAAGGUUGAAACUUAAAGGAAUUGGCGGGGGAGCAC
rnacentral:rRNA from 1 species